GGGAGACUACCACCAUCAGGUCGUGCAUUUUGAAGGCCAUGUCGUAUAUUGCUGUUGUUGUUGUUGUGGAGACUCAGUUCUCCUGAAAGUAUACCUCCUGUCUUAUACUUGGUUAUAUCAGCUUUUUGUAUGGUUACAGAGCUUCGCCAGACGCGGUUAAUGCUGGUUGGUUUCCCAGCAGGAUAUUUUCUUUUAGUAUACCAGUUAGAGUACUUUUGAG
rnacentral:misc_RNA from 1 species